GGUACCUUGGCCGAGCGGUUAAGGCGCCAGAUUCAAGUUCUGUUACUCUUCUGAGUGCGUGGGUUCGAGUCCCACAGGUACCAC
rnacentral:tRNA from 2 species